ACCCUGGAGAUUUGUCAAAGCCACUGAGGCAUCUUCAGAAUUACCCUGCCUGGGUCCCCAUCAGCAAAAACAACCGACGCAUUCUCCAGGCGAGGAUUUUAGACGCAGUCAUUGUUCCUAGAGCCGCCCCAGCAUCCACUCUAAGGCACCACAUCUGUUUCCAUUGUGUCCAACCACUGUGACAAUCUUUCAGUCCCUGCUACUCUCACUCAGGAGUUCUCAGCCCUGACUGUCUCCUAGCGGCGCCUGGGAAGUCUCAAAAGUGCACCAAGGCAAUAGGACCGAUGACACUCAAGUUGAUUUUCAGUUUCUUCUCCCAGCAGCCAGAUAGGAGAGUAUCCAUUUUCCCCACGUCUUUGUCAACAAUUGAUUUAUCAAACUUUUGAUGUUCACUCAUAAAGAGGUAAUAAACAAUAUCCCAUUAAUUUGCAUGGAAGUGAUUAUAUUAAUAGGGCUGUAAAACAUCUGAAUUGAAAGAGACCUCAGUGACUAGGCUGUCAAAACUGUUUCAAGAAGAAAGUUUUAUUGUAUAUAAA